AACGAACGCUGGCGGCAGGCCUAAAACAUGCAAGUCGAACGAUGUAGCAAUACAUAGUGGCGCACGGGUGCGUAACGCGUGGGAAUAUGCCCUUCACUACGGAACAACGUCUGGAAACGGACGCUAAUACCGUAUAAUGACUCCGGUCCAAAGAUUUAUCGGUGAAGGAUUAGCCCGCGUCUGAUUAGGUAGUUGGUGAGGUAAUGGCUCACCAAGCCGACGAUCAGUAGCUGGUCUGAGAGGAUGAUCAGCCACACUGGGACUGAGACACGGCCCAGACUACUACGAGAGGCAGCAGUUAGGAAUAUUGGACAAUGGGGGAAACCCUGAUCCAACCAGGCCGCGUGUGUGAAGAAGGCCGUAGGGUUGUAAAACACUUUCGGCUGUGAAGAUAAUGACAGUAGCAGAAGAAGAAGCUCCGGCUAAAUUCGUGCCAGCAGCCGCGGUAA
rnacentral:rRNA from 1 species